CCCAAGGGCCCCAGGGCCUCAGCUCCUGCAUCUGCCUUUUGAUCUGAGGCUUCGUCAGCCCCACCUCGCCUGUCCGCCCUGCACAGACACCACCUUUCAGCACAGGUUUUCCCACGUGGCACUCCGCUCUCCUUUCUGCUGGGCAGGUCUGACACUGCUCUGCUCUCUGUUUUACCACAAACAAAAUAAAACUAGCAACUUCAGCUAAAUACAUCUUGCUCGUGAAUGCCUGUCCUUCAUGCUUUAUUCUGUAUUUCACCUUAGAGUUUACAAACUGCCUUCAGCCACCCUUAUUGGCAGGUUUUACUGGCCCUGUUUGAGAAACAGGAAAACGGAGGCUCAGAAAACGAACUGCCCAGCCACGACUCAGACCACGGUUUGGAGUCUGCAAUGCCACACGGCUGCCGGCUGAACACCUUCCUCCUCGGCUUCAUCGUCUUUAACACGACUCAAAGGAAUGUGCUUUGGACCCCGGUUACAUGUAUGCAUCUUGAGGGGAUGAAAUAAUGCUAUCUGCUGGUUUCUAAAACUCAAGGUCUGCCUCAGUGGGUAAAUACAACUUACAAAUUAUGAUUUGCCCUUAAUUCUAAUGGGUUAGUCUUGUGGCAGGAAACCAGAGCUGCUGACGUGUUCAGUUUCAGAUGUGAGCAUCGCCCUGGAGAGACCUGUGUGAAGUGGCUACGGGGACCCGCAGAGAACAUGGAAAGGCCCCCGGGGGCCCCUGCGGCCUCAGAACUGCCCACUGCCCUGCAGAACAGUGGGUGUGAGCCAGGCACCAAGUCAAACAAAAAGAACUUCAAACUAGGACACUGGAACACAUGAGUAAGUGAACUUGUUGUUCUAGAAAUUCUAGAAAUUCUUUCAAAACGCUAGACAAACUAGAUUUUUCCGAAAGUGUUUUGUCUACUUGCGCGAACGCUGCCGGCGUGUCUGACUGUCCCACAGGCUCCCUCCUCCGGCCUCCUCCCUUCACACAGCCCCUUCCUGCGCGGCGGCGAGGGAGAACGAGGAGACUGCAGGAGCGGUCCCUACUCGGCACGGAGCUCCCUCCAGGGCUGCUAGGAAACCGCUUCCUGAAGCAGCCGCUUCGCUGGCGGGCAGGAGGAAAACGCCGCCCGCCUGCGGGGUUCUGCUGACGAGGUGCGCGCAGACAGCGGGUCCGGCCCCCUUCGGAAAGCUCCAAGCAGACGAACUGGGGCAGCUAGGCCGCGUGCUCCCACCCAGGCCCGGCGCUCGGCUCUUCUCCCCCAAGGCUGACCUCACGCCCCAGAAACCUGUCCUUCCUGCCUGGACAUCAGGGAUCCCACAGGCCACGCGCCACCCCUGGACUGCACUGAGGACUCGGGCUCCCCAGUCACCCCGGGGCUGUGGGCUGGGGACUCGCAGCGUCGGAAGCCUGUGAGCUGGGAGACACUGGAGGUCACGCGGCCCAGCACCCUCACUUUCCGUCAGGGGAAGAGCGCGGAAAGACUAAGACGCAGAGGGAAAGCUGACGGGUGUCACCUGAAAGGAGAGCCGGAAGGGGCGUCAGUCCCCUACGAAGCCCCUCCUCCCACAAGCCGAUUCUUAGCCGUAGCCUCUCAGGUGGCCAGACUCACCCUCAGCUCCCAACAGCUUUCUCUCUGACUCAAAUCAUUCCAAAGGAAGGAAAAUACGACUACAUUAAAGCAGCUUCUCCUUUAAAAAAGCCUGGGGGAGACCAUGCUCUCCUGCAAGACUGAGCACCAAGAAGACCAACGUAAGGACCCCAAGCACCACGAGGGAGGCCUCUGCGCGGGGAGGCGGGGCCCAAGGCCGCACGGCCUGUGGGGCCCGCAAGUCAGGUCCCUGAGCCUCGGUCCCAACGUGGGGGCCAGUAACGCGGGUGACACUAGCGCGUGAGGGACUGGGCGGCAUGGCACGGAGAGCACAUGGGGUCACCUGACACGGGGGGAGAGGGGACAGGCUGGCCGUUCUGUGACAGGAAGUAAAGGGAUAUGAAAACAGGAAUUCUGACCAUCACAAAUGGUCCCAACUUGAUUAAAAACCAUUCAUCACCAACUUCCUGUAACAGGCAGCCAGCGCCCCUCAGGCCAGGUUUCACGUCCUCACAACUGAGCAAAAACCUCCUUCUACAGAAAAAGUUUCCCCCCUUAAGAAGAUUUUAAAUUUAAAAGGUUUUAUUUUAUUUAACUCGUGGGUCUUACCAGCUUUUUAGUGACCCAUGUUGGAAUGCAAGUGCCCGUGAGGCUGUUCAAGGACCCGGAGGUUGUGCCGGGUGACUAGUGACAGGUCAGAUCCAGGGUGGCCAGGGUCAGAACGCCGCCUUCUCACUGCUUCUUACACUGCUCACCCACCACCGUUUAACUAGUUUAACGAGGAGCAAGGCCACAAGAGCCCCCAGAGGUGGGGGACCUCAUGACAUAUCGCAGGACAGAACAGAAGAGGGGUUUCAAGGGACUGGACCGUGGUACUGGGACACAGAGUGAGCACAGGGGCGCCUGGCGCAGAAGGAAGGGCCAGGCAGGAGCUCUGCAAUGAGGAAACAGGCCACUCUUCCUGGUUUCAGCCCGAAGCCUAAAUAUUUCAGAGUAACAUUUCAGCAAUAACCUCAGACAUUUAGGAUUUAAGAAUAAAUCUCCAGGGAUGGGAAGGAAAUGUACUUAUUAGUAUUAAAAGGACCCCAUGCUUUUGCUUCUCAGAAGGUCACAGGUCAACGGUGACCCCAGGUUUGGCUUCUCAGGCCACACACAGGCCAGCACAGUGUUUGCACGUCCCACAGGGAGCCCCAGAGCAAAGGAAGCAGCCAUGUCAGGAAAGAAGGGCAAAGCCCUUUAUUUUCAGAAUGGGCAAGUGGAAGGCUUGUCUAUGCCACUCAAUGCCACCUGCCUUACACACUAUCAGGAAUCAGGACCCCAAAGAAAACCCCAAAACAAUCUGGGUGAGGCUGAAACCUUGGGUGCAAGCCCCCUUCUGGUCCAGCUCAGGGGGCAUUUAUGUUAAAGGCUUUCCAUCUCUAACCUCUAAACAGUUGCUAACGGGGACCCUGCUUACGUCAAGCUGGAACCCAGGCGACCUCCGGCACCACACACAUGGGCCUGAUGUCACCAAGCCACCCGACAGGCCACCUCCCUGGCCAUAUGCCAGUUCUCCAGCCAGUGGCUCCGUCCGCACACUGCUUUACAACGCAGUUCACCUCCCUGAGUUUAUGGCUACCAGAAGAAUAAGGCAAAACAAAAUAAAAGCCAGAAUCAAACAACA